GUGCAGCUUCAAGCUUAGGACCACCCACCAUGCCCAUCCAGGUGCUGAAGGGCCUGACCAUCACUCAUUAAGAACAGAGGAGGCUGCCUGUUACUCCUGGUGACGGCGUGGCUGCAGCCAUGGCUAGGAAAGUGCUGCCACCCACCCACCUGGGCCGGAGCUGGUUCUGCUCCUGCUGCAGGGACACUGAGCUGGCUAUCUCGGCGCUUCGGGCAAGAACCGCAACAGGCUCUCCUGGGUCCUGCAGGUUUACAGCCGGGCCCCUGCCUUGUGCCUCAGCUCUUGAGAGCUGCUGCUGCCGGGUGACCUGAUCCAACCUGAUAAGGUGCCAUCUUCAGCUACCACUGCAAGGCCCUGAGGGCAACAGCAGCAUGGCACUGCCCACCCAGCUGCUGAUGGCCUGGUGCCAGCUGGGAGUCCUCCCGGCACUUCGAGGCCACUGAGCCACUCUUCCAGCCCGGCCCACCAUGGACAGGGGUAUCCAGCUUCCUCCUCAACCUCGUCCUCUGCCCCUGAGCCAGUGACACCCAAGGACAUGCCUGUUACCCAGGUCCUGUACCAGCACUAGCUGGUCAAGGGCAUGACAGUGCUGGAGGCCGUCUUGGAGAUCCAGGCCAUCACUGACAGCAGGCUGCUCUCCAUGGUGCCAGGGCCUGCCAGGCCACCAGGCUUAUGCUGGGACCCAACCCAGUGCACAAGGACUUGGCUGCUGAGCCACACACCCAGGAGAAGGUGGAUAAGUGGGCUACCAAGGGCUUCCUGCAGGCUAGGGGAGGAGCCACCCCCGCUUCCCUGUUGUGACCAGGCCUAUGGGGAGGAGCUGUCC
rnacentral:sRNA from 1 species